rnacentral:misc_RNA from 1 species
CGUGGCAAUAGGGGGAGGCGGAGGAGAUUGACAAAUAACAACCUAAAAACCAUUGCUGGAGAGGCGCCCUUAACUGCUGGCGCUCAUGAUACAGUGAUGACCUGAGGCGUGUGACAUUCUUCUAUGUAAUAAUGAGGUAGAAAUAUCACGCAUCGUGGCAAAUUAUGGGGGCUCUGUUCCAGCUCCUAAGUUUCCUGAUGCGGAGGCAAGUACUCGCUCGUACUCGUACUGGUACAGUACUUGUACAUAUGUUUUCUGGUCCUGGUACUUUACGAGUGCAUCUAUUAUCGUACGAACUGUAGACGGAAGUGCUACUGUAAUGAAGUGCGAGAGGACAACGCAGGUGAACCUGGUGUGGCAAUGAGCAUAACGGUGAUUUCGAUUAACACUAUACCCAUUUCUUCGAUGUUGUCAAAUCAGUGCCGGACCCACAAACACAAGCACACACGCAAUUUUAGUUUUUGAGUCCCAUCCUACAUUGUGCUAUUGUACAAUCCAUCCUCCAUUCCUCGCGUGGGUGUUUCGUGUUGUACUGUAGAUCAGAUUGACGUCACAAUGCAGAAUAGAUCC